ACUAGAUAUGCGGUAUUCUUGUAUAUAUAUAAGCCGCCAAGAAGUGACGGCAACAAUGUAAUGUGUAAUUGACAGUUGGGUUGAGCACGUGAGAUGUUCAUUGUGAAUUAUAGCGUUUGUUAUAGCGCGAAUGUGGAAAUUAAGUGUAUUGCAAAGUUGUAUUCAGAAAUAAUAAACCAGU